rnacentral:lncRNA from 1 species
AUUUAAAGGGGUAUCCCUAGGUUUAGGGGUACAUCCAGAAACUGAGGGAAUUUGUGUACAGUAUAAGGGGAUUAUGAGUCAGGCUGAGGGGAGGGGAUGUGUGGGAGGUUACUCGACUAUGAUUGGACACUGCAGUAAUUGCUGUAAAUCCCUCCCUUGCAUGGGAGCAUGCUUUAUAAGGCCACUGUGGAAUAAAGGUUUUCAGUUCUGCUCCUGAUGCUGUGUGUCGUCCAGUUAUUGGGAUUGCUGUUGGGAUACUGUUGGAUUAAUUUACUUGCUGGAAACCUUGCUUUGUGGAUUUAUCAUCUCUUGUUCCUGAGCCUCACUGGGAUCUUAAGCGGAGAUAACCUGUGGAAUAUUGUGUCUCCGCUACACAUCCCAUAUACAUAUACACACACACACACACACACACACACAUUUCAGCCUCUAGACAUACACACUCUCUUUCACCCUCUAAAAUAAAACCCACACUAUGUCCUGUAUACAUACACACACUCUCUACAGCCCUCUACAAAUAGACACACACUACUUACCCUAUACACACUCUGCAGACCCCUAUACACUACAGCCCCUAAAAAUAAAAAUAGCUGAUACACUACAGCCAUUAAACACACAUUACAUCCCUACACUGCAGCCCCUUUGCACAAUACAGCUCCUAUGCACACACUACAUCCCAUAUACACAUGCACAUACACUUCAGCCUCUAGACACACACUCUCUAUGACCCUCUAAAAUAACAUACAAACUUGGUCCUGUAUACAUACACACACUCUCUGCAGCCCCUAGACACAUAUGCACAGACACUACUUCCCCUACACACACACUACAGCUCAUAUACACACACUACAGCCCCUGUAUACAUAUACACAUACCAUAUCCACUAUGCACACAUGCUACAGCCCCCUACAAACACACAUUCAGUCGCCUAUAUACAUGUACUCUCUACAGUCCCUGGACACACACACUCAAUCCUCUACACACACUACAUACUCAUACAAAUGACAAAUGAUGAUGGCGGACUCCUCCCUUCUUUCUGUUCCCCUAAUAAUCUUUUUAUGUGUCCCAAAACCCUACAGAUUGGCAGAGGAUCUGGGGGUAAGAAGAGGUUAAAAUGGAGUUGAGGCACAGAAAGGGUCAGGGGAGUGGCUGGUUAAACUAUACCAACAGGGGCCACAAAAAAAAUCUAGCAUGCAAUAGUGCCCGACCUUUGGAUCGCCUGUGGCUAUAGGUAGGUACCAGAUUUCUACUAUUUCACAAUAGAAAGAGGGUAAAUGAUACAGAUGGCAUGUUCAAUAUCCUGGAAUUUCUUCAGUCAUCCAGCAAGUCCAAUGACAUGUCAGUUCUAGGUGAUUUCCCAUAUGAAUAUGUGAAUAUUUUACUAUGAAGACUGAGAAUAUUUAAUUAUAAAUUCAUUAAGGGGCCUCACUUUUAUCCGUUUAGUUUUGCAGGAGACCAUAACAAGGCUGAUAGAAGAGAAGAGAAAAGCAUUUCUUCAAAUAGAAGAUCUAAACAACGAGAUAAGGAAGGUGAAAGCGGAGGUAAAUCAACAACCUCUUUUUAAAGUGGACUUUUUUUUACAACAUCUUUGCAAACCUACUGCCAUAGGAUACUGAAAAAAAGGGGUAUAGAUAACCUGGAUUGUGUUCUUAGUAAAAAAAAAUUAAAAAAAAUCUACCAGAACAUUAUUUAACACAAGUUAUUAUUCAGAAAACCAUCCUUUUCUGAUAACAUAGCUGCAUUGUUAUAUAGCUGAAAAGAGACCUACAUCCAUUAAGUUCAGCAUUUCUUAAACCUGUUUUUGCUGGUAAUCCAAAAAACUGUUUGAAGCACUUUUGCUGCAAACUAGGAAAAAAUGCUUCUUGACUUUAGAAUGGCAGUUAGAUUUCUCCUUGGAUCAAGAAGCUAUUACCCUACAAAUUAAAAAUGACAACACCAUGAUCUAUAUUUCUACUUACUUCUUCAUAAAAAGGAAUUAUGUUAGUUUGACAUUCCAUAAAACCAUGCUGAUUUUUGCUAAUAACACUAUUAUUCCCAAUGAAUUCCUGAAUAUUAUCCCUUAAUAAUCCCUCAAAAACUUUCUCAGCCACAGAAGUUAAGCUCACAGGUCUAUAAUUUCCAGGCACGGAUUUUGAACUUUUUUUUUUAAUAAAGGAACCACAUUUGCUUUUCUCCAAUACUCCGGAACAAUUCCCAAAAGAAAAUAAUCCUAAAAAAUGAAAAUGAGAGGUUCAAUUUUUUCUACAUUUAUCUCCUUAAGUACUCGUGGGUGCAUACCAUCAGGCCCUGGAGCUUUGUUUAUAUUAACAUUCUUUAGUUCCUGCAGCACCUUGUCUUGAGUUAUUCAAUCACAGUAACCGUUUAAUUUUUUAUGUACAACACAGCUUGAAAAUGAGCGACAAGAAGGAAAAUCUCUGUUAAGAACAUUGGCUAAGAAUCAAAGAAUGUUCCAAAAAUUAAACAGAG